rnacentral:lncRNA from 1 species
CAAGGCCUGUGUGAUCUCACUUCCAUCCACCUCCUCAAGGCUUUGAUUCAAACGCACUCAACAUCUAUUUGUCAGAUGCACAGAGCACUUGCCCACAGCAGGGCCUCACUGCUCCUUCUAUCUGGAGUACCUUCCGAUGGUUAGCUCUUUUCAUACUCAGCUAUCAGGUCAAAUGGCAGCUCCUCAGAACGCUUUCCCUGACCUUCCCAAGCCCCCAUCACAUCUGAGUAAGAAACUCCUCUGUCCCUCGUGGUGACUACCACAUUGCUCUGUUGAUUUUCUUUACACUCCUCAUUACACUGUGAAAUUAUCUUGUACACUCGUUUACCAGGUUUUGGCUGUUUCCCCCAAAUGGGGGUAAAUGUCACAAAAGAAGGGUGUUGCCAGUCAUGUUCAUCAUUGCCUAUCUUGCUCCUGGAACAGCAUGUGGGACAUACUGGUUGCCAAAUGUGAAAGGGAGGCAGGAGCAGAUGAUUUGUGUACAGAUGGAUCUGACGACUGGAAAAUGGUUCCUGUGACUCAGAGCCUCUGCUCUGACCUACAGCUCUGUCUGCUUUAUCUAGAACACUCUUCCCCAUAUACCAUGUGACUUCCUAUCCCAUCUUUUAUAUGAUUGCUCAAACAUCCUGUUCUUCAUCUUCAGCUACUUUUGCAAAAAUUCUUUGCUCGCUCUCACCCAGCCUGCUUCGUUUUUCUCCAGAGCACUAUCACCAUCUCCCAAGCUAUAGACUUUAUUGAGUGAUGUGUUUAUUGCCCCCCACCCUCCAGUGUAAGCUCCAUCAGUGACGAGACUUUGUUUCUUCGGUUCCCUGUGUAUCUCCAGCAUCCAGACCAAUGCUCACCACAUCACCCGUGCUCACUACAUAUCUGCCGGGUGAAGUAAAAUCUAGGCAUCAGAAUCACAGGUUCAUGGGGUGGUUGGAUUUCUGGGCUAAGGCAUCCUAAUAAGAAAUGGCAUCAAGCCUGAGAUGUCACUGAAAACGAAAGUUUAAAACAAAAAAACCAAAGCACUGAAGCUAAGUACAUGUCCCAGGGCUACAAAAUUAUACAUCUCUUAGAUUUAAUGGAGCCACAAACCAAGGUACUUAGAAUGAAAAAGAUUCUUUCUUUCUCUCUCUCUCUCUCUUUCUCUGAGACAGAAUCUUGCUCUUGUUACCCAGGCUGGAGUGCAAUGGCACGAUCUCAGCUCACUGCAACCUCUGCCUCCUGGGUUCAAACAAUUCUCCUGCCUCAGCCUCCUGAGUAGCUGGGAUUACAGAUGCGCACCACCAUGGCUGGCUAAUAUUUGUAUUUUUAACAGAGACAGGGUUUCACCAUGUUGGCCAGGUUGGUCUCGAGCUCCUGACCUUGUGAUCUGCCCGCCUUGGCCUCCUAAAGUGCUGGGAUUACAGGCAUGAACCACCGCACCUCGUCAAGAUUUGUAUUUUAGAAAGAAUUUAACUUAUUUUGUAAUUGAUAGUUGGUAUGGAGUGAGUGUUUGUGCUCCCUUGAAAGCGCUGUGUUAAAGCCCUGAUCCCCAGUGUGCUGGUAUUUGGAGGGGAGAUCUUUGGAGACAAUUAGGGUUAGAUUAAGUCAUGAGGGUGGGGCCUUCAUGAUGCCCUCACUAAAAGACUACGAGACAGGAGACCAUGUGAGGAUAACAGCUAGAUGUCUACAAACCGGGAAGAGGGCCCUCACCAGAUGCCACAUUUUUCAGUACCUUGAUUUUGGGCUUUCUGGCCACCAGAACUGUGAGAAAUAAAUUUCUGUUGUGUAUAAACC